GAGUAUCGAUAGUGUGGCGGUAGGCGUGCGACGUGUUAAUACACCACCACUCUCCUCCAACCCAAAUUUCUGAAAGGAAAUCUGACUGGAAAGGUACUUUAGAGAGGUAGUUUUUUGAUUUUCCCACAAGUUUUCUCAACAAAUGGGAAAAACUUAGAAAAAAAGGGAAAAUCGGUAAAAUAUUAAACAAAUAUUAUUAAUAGUAUGUCCGUCUUUUGUCCAUAUGUUGACGUAGCUUUAAGAGCAUUGUUAGGUUUAGGAGCAUUACCCAAAUUGCACACAGUUCCUGUGUAAUUUGGCCUCCAAUUGUUCGACAGAAAGGUCAUUUUCUACACUUCGUCAAAUAAAAAAUUAUUUAAGACCAUCUAUGUCUU